GGCGCGAAAGCGUGGGGAGCAAACAGGAUUAGAUACCCUGGUAGUCCACGCCGUAAACGAUGAGUGCUAGGUGUUGGGGGGUUCCACCCUCAGUGCUGAAGUUAACACAUUAAGCACUCCGCCUGGGGAGUACGACCGCAAGGUUGAAACUCAAAGGAAUUGACGGGGGCCCGCACAAGCAGUGGAGCAUGUGGUUUAAUUCGAAGCAACGCGAAGAACCUUACCAGGUCUUGACAUCCUCUGACCACUCUAGAGAUAGAGCUUUCCCCUUCGGGGGACAGAGUGACAGGUGGUGCAUGGUUGUCGUCAGCUCGUGUCGUGAGAUGUUGGGUUAAGUCCCGCAACGAGCGCAACCCUUGACCUUAGUUGCCAGCAUUCAGUUGGGCACUCUAAGGUGACUGCCGGUGACAAACCGGAGGAAGGUGGGGAUGACGUCCAAUCAUCGUGCCCCUUAUGACCUGGGCUACACACGUGCUACAAUGGAUGGUACAAAGGGUUGCGAAGCCGCGAGGCCAAGCCAAUCCCAAAAAGCCAUUCUCAGUUCGGAUUGUAGGCUGCAACUCGCCUACAUGAAGCCGGAAUUUGCU
rnacentral:rRNA from 2 species